CCUACGGGAGGCAGCAGUGGGGGAUAUUGCACAAUGGGGGAAACCCUGAUGCAGCGACGCCGCGUGAGUGAAGAAGGAUUUCGGUAUGUAAAGCUCUACCAGCAGGGAAGAAAAUGACAGUACCUGAACAAGACUCCCCGGCUAACUACGUGCCAGCAGCCGCGGUAAUACGUAGGGGGCAAGCGUUAUCCGGAUUUACUGGGUGUAAAGGGAGCGUAGACGGUUAUGUAAGUCUGGAGUUAAAGCCCGGGGCCCAACGCCGGGACUGCCUCUGAAACUGUGUAACUGGAGUACAGGAGGGGUAGGCGGAAUGCCUGGUGUAGCGGUGAAAUGCGUAGAGAUCAGGCGGAACACCGGCGGCGAAGGCAGCCUGC
rnacentral:rRNA from 1 species